rnacentral:rRNA from 1 species
UACAGAGGUCUCAAGCGUUGUUCGGAUUCAUUGGGCGUAAAGGGUGUGUAGGCGGCGCGGUAAGUCGGGUGUGAAAUCUCGGGGCUUAACUCCGAAACUGCAUUCGAUACUGCCGUGCUUGAGGACUGGAGAGGAGACUGGAAUUUACGGUGUAGCGGUGAAAUGCGUAGAUAUCGGGAGGAACACCAGUGGCGAAGGCGACUACCUGGCCUGUUCUUGACGCUGAGGCGGCGAAAGCUAGGGGAGCAAACGGG